GAUGGAUGUUAUGGGGAAGAUCAUCAUGGCCAAGAGGGAGACACCGGACCACCAGGGCCACCAGGUGUAUCCAGAUUAACAGAGCCGGGAAACAUUGGCGAUAUGGGACCUCAAGGAGAUGUUGGACUGCCAGGUGCCCAGGGCCCUC